UUUUUUUUUAUUUCAUUUAUCAAUCUCUCAAAACAUGUCUAACCUCUCAGGUCUCUCUCUAGGUAUCUAACCCUUUACUCUUACAGAUGUCUGGCACCAAAAGCUCGACGAAGACGACAACGGGGCUCGACAGCGCGAUGGCUUGACAAUCUGUCUCGCUGCUUUCGUCUUUGCAGGUCUGACGAUGUGCGAGGUCAAGGUUCGGUGAACGAUAGUGCACGAGGUCGGGAUGGUGUUCACUCAACCCCUCGUUUUUGAUAGUGGUACCGAAAUGGUGAAGGUUUCCAUUUCAAAUUUCGGCAUCAUUUGCGGUCACACGGGUUCAGAGGCUGGGAAAUCGAUUGCUUGGGUUAAGAGAUUGAGUUCAGAGAUUGGGAAUGGUGAAGAGGAUUGGGGAUGUGUCGAAGGAAAUAAAAAGAGUGAGGGCACAAAUGGAAGAAAACGAAGAACUGGUGAUACUAAUGAGAGGUAUUCGUGGACAAGCAAAUGUAACCUCUUUGGGUCCAGCUUAUAUCAAACUUGUCCAAGUAUUGAGCAUUAGUUCUGAUAUACUUUCACCAAGUGCAAUGACUGAGCUUCAAAAUCUCUGAUAAGGACUUGUCACAAAAUUAAUGGACGAUCAGAAGUAUGGAAUGAUUGAAGCAAUUGCUCAUCUUAUACAUCGUGAUUAUGGAGCCAUUGUCAAAGACUUUGUUAAACUUGGUUUCAUUCCAGAAGGUGUUAAUUUGGUUUCAAAGAUAUGUGGUUUGAAAAUGAAUUUAGUAUUUUAUUUUAUUUGUAAUAUUUAUUAGAGUAAAUGAUUCUUUUUUGAGUGGUUAAUUAUUUACUUUGUAAAUCUAGUUAUAUAUUUUUUAAGGUCAAGCCGAUUAUGUUUAUAGACAAGACUAUAUGAUUUUUGAGUCAA